CUAUAAUUAUAUAUUAUAUUGGGCCUAGUUCUUCGGGGUUCUUUAAUAACCAAUUUAGAUCCUGAACGGUAAGAGAUAUAACAACACUUGAAAUUAGAAAGUUGAUCCUCAUAAAAAUCUAACAUUUUUCAUCUAUACCAUUUUUUCGAAAAUUGUCGGCUUUCGGAGGA